GAGCGAACGCGGAUUAGCCCAAACCAAUAAAGUUUUCUUUAUUGGGGUUGCGGACAUAUCAUAACGAAGAGGUAUCGUAAUUGAAGAGGUUUGGAAAGACCCACCACAGAAGGUAAUAGUCCUGUAUGUUAAACGAGAAGACUUUAGAUAUGAUCCAGAGUACCACGGGACACGUGAAACCCUGUGGGAAGCAGGAGGGACCACCCUCCAAGGCUAAAUACUACCUAGUGACCGAUAGCGUAUAGUACCGUGAGGGAAAGGUGAAAAGAACCCCGGGAGGGGAGUGAAAUAGAACCUGAAACCCUGCACUUACAAGCUGUGGAAGCACAUUUCUUG
rnacentral:rRNA from 1 species